AAAUAUUCAAAGGUCAUUCAAAUAUUGAUUAUUUUUUCAGUACUUCCUGAGACAGCGGCCAAUAUUCAGGCACAAUAUUCAGGCACCACCUGUAUUAUAUAAUCAGUAUGUCAUAAAAUACGUCAGAACGUAUGUAAUGUGAUGUUGGUUAGAAAUUCCUAGAAGGUGGUGCUUCAUAAUUAUAGUAUGCUGAUUUACCUAUGAACCUCCUGGAGACUAUUUACAGUGACCAAACAGAGAACAGGAUGUGUCAUUAAAGGCAUAUGUACAACACACAACUUUAAAAUUAAACUGAAAAAGACUUGCUGUAAGCUAACAAAGAAACAUUAUCUUGUGUUCCACAACUAUAGGCCAGUUGUGAUUAUUUAGUAAAACAAAACUAAAAUAGAAAACUAAAAUAAGAAGUUUUAAAUGCUACACAUGAAUUUGGGCAUCACUGUAAUGCAAGUAUGGAAAAAGAAGACAUUCAUAUUAAGAUUACUUUUAAAAGUGUUAUUCAGUUUGUAGUCAAUGUUAAAUUAAUAUGUUAAAUGAGCGUAAGAAAGCAAAGCUAAAUCAAAAUAAUCAAAAAUAGGUUAAAAUGAGUUAAAUAUCUUUUAAAACGUUAUUGAUUUUGUUCGUUAAAAACAAAAAAUUUGUUAUGGUUCAUGUGUCAUUUAUUAACUUAUUUUGAUCCUAGUAUGGUACAUUUCUCACAACCAAAAAGUAACCAAUUUGGGACAUAGUUACAUAGUUUAAAGUUAAAUUUUAAUAACUUAAUCAGCAAAGAUGUGCACACUGAUUGCUAUAAGUAAUCAUCAGCUUUAGUUUUUAUUAUUAGCCAUGUAAUGGUUCCGCUUUAUAUUUUAUAUGUGUUCAACGACGAGACAUUGACUGUGUCAAAACUGUGUCAUAUGAAGACAUGAGUCCACUUGGACUCAACUGUUUGUUAUCCAUUAUUUAGUUGUGUGGCUAGCGGAUUGGUAAACCUUUAUGCAUGGCUGAUCUUUUUCAUUUAAGUGUAAAAUUGGAGCUUGGGUUUGCAUCGGCAACCACAUAUCUAAUGUUGUAUGAACUCUGAUUUGAUAUCUGCCAUGCAUAAUGGAUAAAUGCUAAGACUAUGGCCUGUCACGGUCAGCUUGAGUAUUGUAAUGAACUAUAUUUGCACAAGAUAUUUUAACGAAUUCUUACAAAAACAAAGUGCCUUAUAUAGUGAGGUUGUUGUUGACGAAAUACAAUGUAUAAAAUACAUUUGGGGUGUAUAUUGUCAGUUCACAUGUGUAUAUUUUACCAGAGUUAGUUCAAUAGGCUUUUAUCGUAAAUGUUUUUUACACGUUUUCCUGACGUUGAGGCUAAUGCCUCGUGAAGUUGAGCUAAUGUUAAUGUGUCUUAACAUAGCACAGGACGUCUGUCAAUGUGACCGGAAUGAAAUGUAUGAAAUACAGGACUAUUUUGCAUAAGUCCAAUAAAGAGUGCAAUGACUAAA